rnacentral:rRNA from 1 species
CCAAUAGCGUAUAUUAAAGUUGUUGCAGUUAAAAAGCUCGUAGUUGAAUUUCGGGAUUAAUAUGCUGGUCGUGCCAUUGGUACGUACUAGUAUUAUUGAUUUCUCCCUUCUGAUAAAUCAUGAUGUCAUUAAUUUGAUGUCAUGGGGAAUCAGGACUGUUACUUUGAAAAAAUUAGAGUGUUUAAAGCAGGCUCGCGCUU